UACGGAGGGAGCUAGCGUUGUUCGGAAUUACUGGGCGUAAAGCGCGCGUAGGCGGCUUUGUAAGUUAGAGGUGAAAGCCCGGGGCUCAACUCCGGAACUGCCUUUAAGACUGCAUCGCUUGAAUCCGGGAGAGGUGAGUGGAAUUCCGAGUGUAGAGGUGAAAUUCGUAGAUAUUCGGAAGAACACCAGUGGCGAAGGCGGCUCACUGGACCACAACUGACGCUGAGGCGCGAAAGCUAGGGGAGCAAACAGG
rnacentral:rRNA from 1 species